rnacentral:rRNA from 1 species
GUUGUUUAGUUGAAAAUCAAUUAAAUAAUUUUUGAUUUUGAGUAGUAUUGACUUCAUCAGCUUGCUGCUCUCUUUUCGGAAAUUAUUUAAUGCACUUUUCAGUUAACAAGUCAACAUCAAUUUCUUUUGUUGUAAAAGGGUAAGAGGAAGGUGGCUUACAUUUCGGUGUAAGUGUUUAUAGCCUUUUACCUCUGCAAUCGGAGAGAUUGAGGUCAGCAGCGUAGACUCUUCGGGGUUAGAUACGCUUGUGCUAAGCUAUAGCCUUGUAUAGACAACUUGUUGACUAUACUCAGUCAUGUAGCUUACUCGCUUGCAGUAUUUUACCUAC